GGAUUGUGGCUCAGUGGUAGAGCGCUUGCCUAGCAUGUGUGAAGCACUGGGUUCGAUUCCCAGCACCA
rnacentral:tRNA from 1 species